rnacentral:rRNA from 1 species
GAUGAACGCUGGCGGCGUGCCUAAUACAUGCAAGUCGAGCGAACAGACGAGGAGCUUGCUCCUCUGACGUUAGCGGCGGACGGGUGAGUAACACGUGGAUAACCUACCUAUAAGACUGGGAUAACUUCGGGAAACCGGAGCUAAUACCGGAUAACAUGUUGAACCGCAUGGUUCAACAGUGAAAGACGGUCUUGCUGUCACUUAUAGAUGAAUCCGCGCCGCAUUAGCUAGUUGGUAAGGUAACGGCUUACCAAGGCAACGAUGCGUAGCCGACCUGAGAGGGUGAUCGGCCACACUGGAACUGAGACACGGUCCAGACUCCUACGGGAGGCAGCAGUAGGGAAUCUUCCGCAAUGGGCGAAAGCCUGACGGAGCAACGCCGCGUGAGUGAAGAAGGUCUUCGGAUCGUAAAACUCUGUUAUUAGGGAAGAACAAAUGUGUAAGUAACUAUGCACGUCUUGACGGUACCUAAUCAGAAAGCCACGGCUAACUACGUG